AGACCCGAAACCCGGUGAUCUAGCCAUGGGCAGGUUGAAGGUUGGGUAACACUAACUGGAGGACCGAACCGACUAAUGUUGAAAAAUUAGCGGAUGACCUGUGGCUGGGGGUGAAAGGCCAAUCAAACCGGGAGAUAGCUGGUUCUCCCCGAAAGCUAUUUAGGUAGCGCCUCGUGAAUUCAUCUCCGGGGGUAGAGCACUGUUUCGGCUAGGGGGCCAUCCCGGCUUACCAACCCGAUGCAAACUGCGAAUACCGGAGAAUGUUAUCACGGGAGACACACGGCGGGUGCUAACGUCCGUCGUGAAGAGGGAAACAACCCAGACCGCCAGCUAAGGUCCCAAAGUCAUGGUUAAGUGGGAAACGAUGUGGGAAGGCCCAGACAGCCAGGAUGUUGGCUUAGAAGCAGCCAUCAUUUAAAGAAAGCGUAAUAGCUCACUGGUCGAGUCGGCCUGCGCGGAAGAUGUAACGGGGCUAAACCAUGCACCGAAGCUGCGGCAGCGACGCUUAUGCGUUGUUGGGUAGGGGAGCGUUCUGUAAGCCUGCGAAGGUGGCCUGUGAGGGUUGCUGGAGGUAUCAGAAGUGCGAAUGCUGACAUAAGUAACGAUAAAGCGGGUGAAAAGCCCGCUCGCCGGAAGACCAAGGGUUCCUGUCCAACGUUAAUCGGGGCAGGGUGAGUCGACCCCUAAGGCGAGGCCGAAAGGCGUAGUCGAUGGGAAACGGGUU
rnacentral:rRNA from 1 species